rfam:Colletotrichum orbiculare MAFF 240422 contig03076, whole genome shotgun sequence.
GGUCUAUUAGUCUAGUUGGUUAGGACGUCGGAUUCUGAUCAUGAUUGGGAUGUUCCGUAAGCCCAGGUUCGAAUCCUGGAUGGACCU